rnacentral:lncRNA from 1 species
GGGUGCCUGUAAUCCCAGCUACUCGGGAGGCUGAGACAGGAGAAUUGUUUGAACCCAGGAGGUGGAGGUUGCAGUGAGCCGAGAUCGCACCACUGCACUCCAGACUGGGUGACUGAGACUCCAUCUCAAAAAAAAACAACAACAAAAAACAGCUCUUAGAAUUCUUCAUUAGUUACAAUUUUGUUUCCUCCGUGGCAAUAUGAAUUGCAAUUUGUGAAUUAAAAACAUUAGAAUUUGAAAAAAUUUUGGCUGGACAUGGUAGCUUAUGCCUGUAAUCCCUAGCACUUUGGGACGCCGAGCGAGGCAGGCAGAUCACCUGAGGUCUGGAGUUCAAGACCAGCCUGACCAACAUGGUGAAACCCCUUCUCUACUAAAAAAAUACAAAAAUUAGCCCAGUGUGGUGGCGCAUGCCUGUGGUCCCAGCUACUCAGGAGGCUGAGGCAGGAGAAUCGCUUGAACCCGGGAGGCAGAGGUUGCAGUGAGCCAAGAUCAUGCCACUGUACUCCAGCCUGGGUGACAGAGUGAGACUCAGUCUCAAAAAAUAAAUAAAUAAUAAUAAAUAAAAUAAAAUAAAAUUCAAAAUUAUCUGGACAUCUGAAUUUUAUCUGACAUGCCCUUUCAUCAUAUUGCUAUAUCCUUUGUCUUUCCUCAAUUAUAUUUUAUCAAGAAGGCCUUUUCCAACCAUUUUAUUUAGUAUGGCUCCCCCACCUCCACUUCUCUCAUAAAUUGUUCUGGCCCUAGCACCAGCAUACAGCAUAGUUUCCUGUUUAUUUGCUUAGUGUCUGUCUCCUUCAGUAUAGAAUGUAAUCUUGUGGCGGUCAUGGUGGCUAACACCUGUAAUCCCAGUACUUUGGGAGGCUGAGGCACGUGGAUCAUUUGAGGUCAGGAAUUCAAUACCAGCCUGACCAAUGUGGUGAAACCCUAUCUCCACUAAAAAUACAAAAAAAUUAGUCUGGCAUGGUGGCACAAGCCUGUAGUCACAGCUACUCAGGAGACUGAUGCAGGAGAAUUGCUAGAACCCGGGAGACAGAGGUUGCAGUGAGCUGAGAUCGCACCACUGCACUCCAGCCUGGGCGACAGAGUGAGACUCCAUCUCAAAAAAAAUAAAGUAAUCUUGUGAGGGCAGGAUUUUGAUGCUAUGUUCACCACUGACUCCAAAAUGGCACAUAGCGGGCUCUCAGUAGAUAUCUAUUGAACAAAUGGAAGCAUAAAUAAACAAGCAAUGCUACACUUGCUUUCUCCAGCACCAUGGGAGCAGAUCCAGGGAGCAGACAGGGAAAGAAGGCUACAGCCCCUGCCCCCUGGUGGAGCUGGAAGAAUCAAUAAUUUUCAUUUAUUUAUUCAUCUAAUGUGCUUUGCACGCUCCCUAUCUGCCAGGAUCAGCUUGUUGCCAGGGAUACCGGGUAAACAAUCCCAUAAGGUUCCUGUGGUCUGGAGGAAGAAACAGACAUUAACGCACAAUAGGGAGAUGGUUACUUAAUUAUAGUGGUGAACUGUCAAUGAAGGAAAAGC